CCCCUCUCAGGAUCGCACCUGGAGAGUUUCCAGUACUCUACCAGUCUCAGCUAUGAGGGAGAUUCAAGCAGAGGCAUACCCAUUCAAUUCCUCAGCUUGGCCAGUGGCUAGUGAGUGGAAGGCAAUCUGCUACAAGU